rnacentral:lncRNA from 1 species
AUGUCUAGAACCUCUAUGUCCUGCAAAUGAAGGAGGAGGAUGUCCUUAAGUUCCUUGCAGGAGGAACCCACUUAGGUAGCACCAGCUUUGUCUUCCAGAUGGGACAGUACAUCUAUAAAAGGAAAAGUGUUGGCAUCUACAUCAUAAAUCUGAAGAGGACCUGGGAGAAGCUUCUCCUGGGAGCUUGUGCCAUUGUUGCUGUUGAAAACUCUUUCAAUGUCAGUGUCAUAUCAUCCAGGAAUACUGGUCCGAAGGCCAUGCUGAAGUUUGCUGCUGCCACUGGAGUCACUCCAGUUGCUGGCUGCUUCACUCCUGGAACUUUCAUUAACCAGAUCCAGGCAGCCUUUUAGGAGCCACAGCUUCUUAUGGUGACUAAUCCCAGUGCUGAUCACCAGCCUCUCACAGAGGCAUCUUAUGUUAACGUACCUACCAUUGCUCUGUGUCACACAGAUUUUCCUCUGUGCUAUGUGGACACUACCAUCCCAUGCAACAGCAAGGGAGCUCACUCAGUGGGAUUGAUGUGGUGGAUGCCGAUCCAGGAAGUUCGCAUGUGUGGCACCAUUUCCUGUGGGAGGUCAUGCCUGAUCUCUACUUCUACAGUGUUCCUGAGGAGAUUGAAAAAGAAGAGCAGCCUGCUGCUGAAAAGGCUGUGACCAAGGAGGAAUUUCAGGGUGAAUGGACUACUCCAGCUCCUGAGUUCGGUGCUCCUCAACCUGAGGUUGCAGACUGGUCUGAUGGUGUGCAGGUGCCCUCUGUGCCUAUUUAGCAGUUCCCUCCUGAAAACUGGAGUGCUCAGCCUGCCACAGAAGACUGGUCUGCGGCUCCCCACUGCUCAGACCACUGAAUGCAUAGGAACAACCACUGAGUGAUCUUAA